UGGGCUUGGUGGUGUCAAAAAGUACUUUGGCGAUGGACCUUGGUGGUGGCGGCAGCGGAUCCUGACGGCAAUUGUCCAAAUCCGCCAAGAAGAAGCUAAGAAAAGAACCUUGUCAAAAGAGAAUUGAAGUCCUCGUCUCUGGAUGUACUCUGAUCACUGUCCAACCAAACUCCCAAAUGAUAGCAAUAGUUGCUUGAAUCGAGUUCGGCUGCGUGAUUUUUUCUAG